rnacentral:lncRNA from 1 species
AAAUCUAACAUAUCUCAAUUUAUGUACUGAAAGCUUAAAGGAACUGCCAAUUGCAAUUCUACCUAGGCUUUCUUGUCUGCAAUGUUUGGUAUUAUAUGUUAAAUCAGCUUGUGUAAAAAUGAAUGGAUUGGAACUUGCCAGAUUAAGCAAGCUAGAGGUUUUUGAAGGGAGAUUUAAUGAGUUGAUAGACUUUAAUGCCUACACCACGUCUAUACAAGGUCGACAGCUCACUUCUUACUUGCUUGUCAUGGCACCACUUGGAGAAUGCAUAGAUUAUGUUUUUCGUUUCAACUCGAAUAGAUGUUGCGACGGCUGCGAGUUCAGGCUGAGGAAGUCACUGUCAAAGUUCCCAGGUACGGAUGCAAUCAAAUCCAUAAAUUUAUAAAAUUACUCAGUUAUUUAUAAAAUUUCUUUUUGUUUUUCUAUGUAAGGUUUUUAGUUAAUUAUUCAGUUAUUUAAAAUAAUAAAUGAAUUUAUAAAAUUACAUAUAUUAAGUUUUCAGUAAGUAGUUUGCACAUAUAAUUAGUUAUAUAAAAUAAUUUUAUAUGUAAUUAAGUACAAGUAAAUAAAUUAAUUGAGUCUUAAUUUAAUUUGUAUAAGCAUUAUUAUUAAUGUAGAAGAAUGUAGAUUCAAAUGCACUUAACUAUAUUAUCUUCUUAUUUUCUAUUUUUUUAUUGGACAAAAGCACUACUAUAUCUAUCAAUCUUAAUAGAUCAUCAAGUCUAGUUACUUUUUAAAUUUCGAACGUUUAAAAAAUUAUGUUAGUCAUAAUUUAUAGCAAACUAUCUUUUUAAGGAAAAAUUUAUAAAACAUAAAAUUUUAUUUAUAAAUUUGAUUAAUGAGUACCAUGCUUAUAAAUACUUAUUAAAAUUAGUUAAAAGAAGAAUUAUUAAAUUUCCAUUAAGAUUUUGUUUUGGUAUUUUCAUGUUCGUUUUAUGGUCCGGGCAUAUGAUUAUCCUUUCUAAUAAUGUUGUCUCUAAGAGACGAAGAAAGAUCCUCCAAAAGAAAGAAUGUAAUGUAUUUUGUCCUUGAACUCAACCACUUAUUAGUUCAAUUAAGAUUUUCUUUUUAAAUUCUCUUUUAACAAAUUAAUUAAAAAAGUUUUUGUAAAGAUUACCUUAUCAAAUGUUUUAAGCAAUCUUUAAAUUGUUCUUUAAUUAUUUAGACUUAGUGACAAAUUUAGCCGCUAACAUUUAUAUGUUUUAUCAAAAUGACCCUAAUUAUAUUUUUUUUAACAUUUUUUUUUGGCUAUCAACAUUCUUUUUUCAAUUUACUUUUUCUAACAAAUUUAAGUAAUAAAUUACAUCAUCAUCUCACAUAUAAAAUAUAAUUAGAGCCGAUUUAACCAAUAUGUAAAUAUAAGUGAUUAAAUUUAUCCUUAUAAACCAAUUAUUUAUGCGUUUGUGCUUUUAACAUGUGGCUUUAUAUAGCAAAGUGGUAGGGUGGCAGUUGCACCAAAAAUAAAAAUGAUAAUUAAUUAUAGCUUUACCGUGCAAAGUAAUAAUUAUUAUAUCAGAAAUUGAGUUUGAUAAGGAAUUUCAAUUCUGAUUGGUGAAGCUGUGAAAACUGUGUCCUUUACUGGGGAAAAGAAGACGAUUGUGGAAGCGACUCUAGAAGUGUCUGGUAAGUUAGAAAUGGGACCCACUAAUAUUGCGGCGAGGUUGACGAAACGGCGUUUGGAAGUGCAGCUCAUGGAUGAGUGGUGGGAGCCUCCAAUUCUCCCUAUGAAAAAUGUGAUAUUAAGCGGGUGUCCAAUAGGAAGAGAAGAUCCAGCAGAGCUCCCAAGUGAUGUUAGGAGUCUCAGAAUUUUUAGAUGCCACAACAUCAGAAGCUUAAGUGAUUUGCCCUUCUUUCAACGAACCAAUGAGUUGGGGUUCUGUUCGAUUCACGAUUGCAGAGGGAUAGAAUCUGUGCUUGAUCUGUCGUCACAAUCCCAAUCAUGCACCCCAUUUGAGAACCUUGAGCUCUUGAGGCUUGAAAAUUUGGAUAACCUUAAUGUGCUUGUUAAAGUAGCAGAAGCAUAUGUUGUUUCUACUUUGAGUUCACAGUCUAUUCCGGCCAUCUUUUCCCAUCUUAAAUCAUUUCAUAUUGAAGGAUGCUCAAACAUGAAGCAGCUCUUUCCCUUUGACUUGGUACAUGACCUCCAAAACCUAGAGAACCUCAUAGUUCGUGGUUGUGGACAAAUAGAGGAAAUAAUAGGACCAAAAGAAGAGGCUGAGGAUCACAAGGGAAAUGGAACGCAAGCUCCAACAAAGUUCAGCCUUUCCAAAUUAAAGGAGUUAGAAUUGACGUGCUUACCAGAGCUGAAGAGCAUAUGCAGUUCAAAUAGGGAAAUGGUAUGCAACUCUCUUAGGAAAAUUAAAGUAUGGGACUGUACGAAGCUAAAAAGGAUGCCUCUGUGUCUUCCUCAUUUUCUAGAUACACACCAAGCAGCUCCUUCUGUUCGUCCUUUCGUAAGUGUCCUCGCGCAUCCAAAGGAGUGGUGGGAAUCAGUAGAGUGGGACUAUCCGAAUGCUAAGGAGGUUCUGCGACCUUGGUUGAACUUUUAUUAGCGCUGCUGGAAGCCUUUGCUGUUCAAAUCAAAUUCCGGAUCAAGCUAAACAGUGAGUCUUCAUUUGUUGCUUUUAUUUCUAGAAAAAAAAUUGAAGAUUUUUUAUUCUACCAAAAAGAAGACGGGCAAGAAGAGGAUUAUGAUUGGCAAAAUAGAGACCAAAGAGAACAAAGCUAUUACCAAUGUUUGAAACAAAUUUAUAUCAAUUAGCAUCAUGCUUUGUUACCAGCUGUAGGCUAAUUUGGUUGAAAUGGUUUUAAUAAAGCACGGUCUCAUUUGCUUCUUUGUUUAACCCCAGUGAUUAGGCUUGCUCUAGAACCCUUGAGAUUCUCAUUAUGACAUUAAUGAUUUGAAUGAACGAACAGCCCCUUUUUCUUCUUUAUUUGGUAACUGCGCUUUAAGUUGAUAUAAAUAUGUUUUCCAAUGUAGUAUUCUUGUUUGCUUAGAUCAAUGUCAAAAACCUUGCCUCCAAUGCUUCCCUUUCUUCUCCACCUUUUUUUUUUUUUGAAUUCUUUGUGGGGUCUUAUUAAAUACAGGUUGUUUAUACCAUUCUAAAGCUAGCAAAGCAGUUGGCUUGACAAUCAAAUCUUUGAGAAACAAAUCAACCCAACUCAUCACUGUACCUUCAUUCUUCUGUGGUGGUUCUAUCUUUGAUGUGGUACUUCGUCGGAUGCAUCCUUCUCUUGUGGUUUUAUCUUUAAUAAAUGAACUUCAAUUUGGUUUCAAUGUGAUUGGAUUGUUGAUGUUGUAAUUCAACUUUGUACUUGAUAAUCCUGCUUCUAGUUUGCAUCAUUUUUUACCAUGUGGUUGUGUUUCCUGUGGCUUAAUUGUCUCAUUUAAUCUUGGAACUUGCACAUUUAUAUAUAUAUUGAACCAUCCCAAAGGUAUAUACCACUUCUUGAAAUGGUGUUUUAUUUAGGUGGCCUUUUUGCUAUUGUGAACCAUCCCAAUGCUAAGCAGGAUCUGCUACCUUACUUGGUAAUGCUAUAGCGCUACUGAAAGGCUUUAUCCAAAACUCUAUCUAUUCCUUGCAUCUGAUGGUGGGUUAAUGUUUAGACAUAAUCUAGACUUGGAUUUGAUUAAAUGAGCGUUUAUCUAGAUUUUUCAAAUUAAAUUGAUUUGGUUUCAGAAUUAGAAUAAAAAGCUAGUUUUGAAAUUUAUUUUAUUUAAGUUGGAAUGUAUUUUAUUUUGAGUUUAAAUUAAUUAAUAAAAUAAUUUUAAUUUAAUAUAUUAAGUCAAGAUUUUUAGUUGAUUAAGCAAUUUAUUAGUGAUUAAUGGAACUAGUUCAAAAAUUUAUCUUAACUGAAAUAAUUACAUUAAAAAAAUUAAAAUAUCAUAGAGUGAACAUUAUCAUCACAAUUUGCAUUCAUGUAGUUAUAUAACUCUACUUUUAGUUAUCACAACAGCAGAACAGGUUUUUAGCGGCGUUUUUUUUUGCCUUUAGCGGCGCUUUUAAACGCCACUAAAUCCAUUUCUGGUUCUUGAAGAAGCGCCGCAAAAAAUGCCGCUAACGACAACGUCGCAAAUUUUUGCGGCGCUUACAGAAAAAAAUGCCACUAAAGAUCAUGUUCUUUAGCGGCCCUUAGAAAAAAACGCCGCUAAAGAUCAUGUUCUUUAGCGGCGCUAAAAAAAUAAACGCCACUAAAGACCAUCUUUUUUAGCGGCGCUAAAAAAUAAACGCCACUAAAGACCAUGUUCUUUAGCGGCGCUUUAGAAAUAAACGCCACUAAAGAGCAUGUUCUUUAGCGGCGCUUAGAAAUAAACGCCACUAAAGAUCAUGUUCUUUAGCGGCGCUAAGGAAAUAAACGCCGCUAAAGAUCAUGUUAUUUAGCGGCGCUUAAGAAAAAAACGCCGCUAAAGAUCAUGUUCUUUAGCGGCGCUUUGAAAGAAAACGCCUCUAAAAGUAAUGUUCUAUAGCGGCGCUUGUUUAAAAACGCCGCUAAAAGUAGUAUUCUUUUAGCAGCGCUUAUUUCAGAAAUGCCACUGUUUGAUAUGACUUUUAGCGGCGCUUUUUUAAAAAACGCCACUAAUUUUAGGAUUUUUUUUAAAUAAAACUUUCUGUUUUUUUCUGCCCUCCUGCAACAAAAAAUUAAAAGCAACCAAAUCUAAACUAACAAAAAACAAUAAAUUUAUAUAAUAUUUCAAAUUAAAUGACUAAAAUAAUAUUAAUUUAUAUAAAUAAAAUUGAAUUCAUACUUUUCUUUACAAAAGCGUUAAAAGUAUUUAUGCAACAUACACUAUGACGGCGGAAGUUGCGACUGCUGAAACAUCUUCAUCAUAAUCUGAAGCUGCUGUUGAAGUUCGUUGUACUUUUUGCUCUGCUCCGCUUCUCUCGAUGCCGCAUCUUUUUGAAGUCGUAGCUAUAGUUCUUCAUAUUUCUUUUGAACCUCUGCUUCUAUCGCUGCUUCUCUCGCUGCUUCUCUCGCUGCGGCCUCUGCUUCUCUCGCUGUGGCCUCUGCUUUAAGUUGUUGCUGAAGUUCUUCAUAUUUCCUUUGAACCUCAAAUGUGAUCGCUUGCAUCUGAGCCAUCUGGUCUUUUAACCUCUGAACUUCAGCUUGAGAUUGACUCCCCGAAGCCAUGUAUUGGUGCGAGCUGGAUCCAAAAUAUUGGGUUGGGCUGAUAAAAGAUCCUUGAAAUCGAACCCGACCAUACUUUUCAGGACCCAAUACUUCAGUAAUAAUCCGGUUAUCAAUGUCUUCAAGAUGAACAGAACUAUCACUAGAAGCAAUCGCUUCGUACUCCGUCUUUUUUUCCUUUAGUUUUUCCUAAUAAAUAAAUCACAUAGUUAGGAACGCAAUAUAUAUAGUAAAAAAAACAAAUGCAAUAUAACAAUAGUCGCAUUACAAGCAAUGAAUUAAACCAUUAGAAAAUAAACACUAUAAAUAACUAAAACAAGUGAAAUCAUAUUAAGUAAACGUACCAUAAUUUCACCAGCUUCAGGAGUCAUAGCAGAUCCAUCUUUUUUCUUAUGUGUAAUUUCAAAAAGUUGUAGGCGUCCAACUUUUUGACCGGAUGACCGUUCCUACAAUAUAGUAGUAAAAAUAUUAUUUAAUAGAAAGUUAUACAUAUUUGAGAAUAUUAAAAAAUUAAAAAUACCUCCGCCUCAGCUACACAUGCAAAACUUCUCGACCCGGCUGUGUGAGUGAAUUUUUGUUGCUGCCGGCUGCUUUUUCCAACUCGCUCACGAUCCUACGUUAUAAAAUUUUUAGUACGUAAAUAGUAAAUACUAUAAACCAAAAUAAUUACAAUAGUUUGGAAGUACGUCGUACCUCGCCUUUCUGAGAAUACCAAAAUCUAACCGCAUCUUCCCAUUGGUACCUCAACAUACCCGGCGGGACAUUUUGCAAUUUCUCAUCGAGGGUGGUUUUUGUCUUAUAAUAAUUUUUCUUCAAAGUACUUUUACUGUCUCUCCAUCUUUUUCCCAAUGCCUUCUUUACAUAAGCAUCGGAGACCUCUAAAGCAAAUAAAGUAAAUAUAAAUGAAACUAUUUCCCAAGCAUUACAGAUGACAUUAACAUUUUGUUACCUUAAUAUUAUCGAAGGCUUGGUUUUUGUUGCUAUCGGGCAUUUGACGCCAUGACUCGUAGUUGAUAGGCAACAUAUUCGGAUUUCGUGCUAAAAUGCCCAUGUAUCCUGCUAAAAGUCGAGCUUCUGAUUCAACAGGCUGACCAAAACUGUUUCUGCGUACCUUGACACGCUCGGCUGGAUCUAACUCGUAUAACUCUCUAAGUAGCGUACGUCCUCGACCUCUACGCGUCCCACCAUUUUCAGCUACAAAUGGUAUAUUAUAAUAUAAGAAUUUGAAAAAUAAAUCAAUUAUAAGUUAACACGCAUGGAAUUAAUGUAAGUUACUUUGAACUUCCGUAAGAUCCUCGUGUGUAAUCGAAACAUUCGAAGAUCCAAUUGCUGUCUGUUGUUCAGUACUAUUUGUUUCUAUCGAGUUUGGAUCAUUUUGAACAAUGCUUUCCCUUAUAAUUUUUCUUCUAGGCAUUUUAUCUGCAAUACACAUAAAAUGUAAUUAAACUUAAUAAUUAAUUACAACAAUAACAGCACAUAUAAAAUAGUUGAGUUAUAUAAUAAGACCAAGAUUUAAUACUAAUGUAAGUAUAUAAUUAAACAAUCGUAAAAUCUUACUACAUCAUUAUUCGUAAAAAUCUUCAUCCGUAUCCUGACGAACCCAUUGAAAUUGUGCACUAGUACUAAGGGUAUUAUCGUUUAAGUUUUGUUCUGGAAAUGGAAAAGUUUUUGAUCUGUCGUCGAUGUUAUCUCUACUUCCACUGCCCAUGUCAAACAAGUCUCUAGGGAUGUUACGGAGUACAACGUACCAACCCUCAUCAGUUGGAUCUUUUGAGUAAAAAACUUGUUUGACUUGACUUGAGAAUACAUACGGCUCAUCUAUCAGUUGUUGUCCUGUGUGAAUCAAUCGGUCAAAGUUCACCAUUGUAAAACCAAAUUGAUCUUGCUUGAUUCCACGAGCUGUAUUAACAUCGGCCCAAUCACCUCGAAAUAAGACAACUUUCCAUUUGCCGUAGUAAUCCAACUCAAUUAUGUCAGUAAGCUGUCCGAAAUAUUCCACAUUUCCCUCGACUGGAUUAUUGUCCCUAGCGCUAGCAUAACUUGUAAUUGCAGAAUUAACAACUAUUCCACAAUUUUGCGUUCUCCUCAACCUCUCGCGAUAUUUUGUAUGAAAUCUGAAUCCGUUGAUGAGGAACGCACUAUAUCUUUUAACCACUCGAUUUGGACAUUGGGAGAGCCAUUUAACUUCGUCGUUUACGCUCUUCCCAUUCGAAACCUAUUGAAUGGAAAGUAAACUAAGUACUUAAAAAUGUUAUGAGAAAGCAUUAUUAUUUGUAAGCGAAAGCUCCAACUACAUACCGUUUGGCUUAACCAUUCAUAAAAAGAUUCUGUAAACAACUUCUUGAUAUCUCGAUGUUGUGUUCUUCGGUUGCGCGAACGAGAUCUCAAUAUUUGUUUGUACUCACUAUAUAUGUUAAAAAAAUGUGAUCUUUGUUAGAAGAUAAACAAUUUUUAGUUUGAUAAAUAUUUAUAAAAUUUGUAGAACUUACUUCCGUAAAGGUUCCAAUGAUUCGUGGUGAAACAGAACAUAUCGUUGUGCUUGUACCCACAAUAAAUUAUCUAAUUCCGCAAUUUCAACUUUGCCGAUUGGUUGUCCAGAACUUUGGAACAAAUAAGUACUAUCGGCUAAGUUAUAGUCUGUGAGUCCAGCAUUCCUAUUUGGUCUGUUCAACCUUGUUUCGACAUCUUCCAAAUAUCUUGAGCAGAAGGUCAUACAUUCCUCUGCCAAGUAGCCUUCAGCAAUCGAUCCUUCUGGAUAUCGCUUGUUGCGACAAUAAGACUUUAAUUUGGAUAGGAACCUAAACACAAUAUACAACAUUAUCAUAAGUUGUAACUAUAGGCAUAGAGGUGAAUGAAAGAAAAUUUUAAAAAUACUUCUUUAACACCUUUCUAUGGGAUACAUCCAUCGAUAGAAAACGGGUCCGCAUACAUCCUCGACUGUGCAUCAUUUUCAUCGUCGUUCCCAUCUUCUGUGUUUCUAUUUAUCCAACGGGAGUGGCCGCAUACAUGACAGCACUGUUGGUUUUUCCGAUCGCCCCAAUACAACAUGCAGUCAUUUGGGCAACUAUGGAUUUUGUUGUACCCAAGGCCUAAAUCUUUUAUCAUUUUCUUCAUAUCUUUGCAUGACUGAGGGAUUUUUGUAAACGGAAACAUUUCUCUCAAAAACUCUAGUAGCAUUGUCAACGAGUUUUCGGUCCACCCUCCCAAACAUUUUAACUGAAAAAGACGAACACAGAAGGCCAUUUUUGAAAAUUUUGAUCCCUCAUACAAUUCUUCGUUCAUGUCAUUAAGUAGAGCGUAGAACUUCGCCGCUUCUCUAUUUGGCUCUUCAUGAGGUACACUACUUCCCGGUUUGGUAAAAGUAGUUCCACCGACGUUACAAUCAUCAUAUGCCAUAAAAUCCCCUGGGAACGAUUACACACCAUGAUUGUGCAUAUUAAAUGCAUCCCGCAACAUACCUUCCAUGUCAUCCCCUCUAUCAGACUAAUGGUAAGCAGUCCCAGGAUAAGAUACAUCCAUCGUUAAAGAGGAAGUACUUCUAGGGCAUUCUCCAUGAAAAAUCUAUUGCUUAUAACCCUUAACAAACCCAUCAACAAUUAGAUGCUCGUAUACAACCUCACGAUAAUGCCAGUUUAGGUUGACACACUUUUUACACGGGCAAAGAAUCAUGUUCUCUUGGCUUGCAUAUUGAAAUGCAAAAUUUAGAAAACUCUGCACCCCAUUUCGAUAACCGUCGCUUACCCUUGACAAAUUUAUCCAAGACCGGUCCAUUUCUUAAUUCUUGAAGUCUGACGUUGACAAUAAAUUGCACGGUUUUAGGAUUUGACAACAAGAUAUACAUUAUAUAAGUUAUGUAAGUUAUGUAAGUUAUGUAAGUUGUGUAAGUUGCGUAAGAUGUGUAUUAUGAAACUUAUGUAAGUUAUGUCUUAUGUAAGUUAUGUAAAUUAUGUAUUAUUUACACAUGUAAGUUAUGUCUUAUGUAAGUUGCGUAAGUUGUGUAUUAUGAAAGUUAUAUCUUAUGUAAGUUAUGUAGGGUAUGUAUUAUUAUGUAACUUAUUUAAUUUAUGUAGGGUAUGUAUUAUUAUGUAACUUAUUUAAUUUAUGUAGGGUAUGUAAGUUAUGUAAGCUCUGUAUUAUUUACGCAUGUAAGUUGUGUAUUAUGUAUUAUUACGUAAGUUAUGUAGGGUAUGUAUAAUAUUAAAAAAAUAGUAAUAUACUUAUUUAAGUUAUAAAUUUAUUAUUAAUAAAAUUUAAAUAUAGCUUACAUACGUAAAUGAAUAUAUGUAUAAUAUUAAAAAAAUAGUAAAACUUAUUUAAGUUAUAAAUUUAUUAUUAAUAAAAUUUAAAUAUAGCUUACAUACGUAAAUGAAUAUAUGUAUAAUAUUAAAAAAAAUAGUAAUACUUAUUUAAGUUAUAAAUUUAAACUUAAAAAUAAAUUAAAAGUUUGAAAUUUUUUGUAAGUUAUCUAAAAUUAAACUUAAAAAUAAAUUAAAAGUUUGAAAUUUUUUUCCAUGAUUAAAAUUAAAUAAAAGAAAACAAAACAAACUAAAUUUCGGGGAUUAAAAUAGCAACUAAAGGAAAAAAAUUUGUUUUGGAGGAAAACAUAUAAAUAUUUGCAAACUAUACGGGCUUUAACCAAAUGUUUAUAUUAUUUAGACAUAAAUAACCUUCAUUUUCGAAAUAAUUUACUUGUUAUAUGGAAUAAUAUGUAUACAACAGUUAACCAUGUUUUAUAUCAAUGAAACUGAAAUGUGAAAAGAAAUUGGAUUAAUUUGUUAUUGAAUGUAACGUAUAGUUCCGAAAUUUUGAAUAAUUUUAAAAUAAAAAAAUUUAAUCCAAUUUAUUAAAUUUAUUAAAUUGCUUCUAUUUUGCUCAACAUAUAUAGCAAUCGUUGAUGGAUGAUAACAAAAAACAUAAGUCAGAAAAGUACAUGGCAAUUGUAAAAUAAGUAAAAUGAAACAUAAGCUAGAGGAAAAUAACCAAAACCAAUUACAUGUAUACAAAACCAGAGCCCCAAAAGAAACAUUUUUCAAAAAUCAUCUUGCUAUUUCCAUAUAAUAUUCACAAAAAGUCAGACCAUUUUAGUUUAUAGAUUUACUUACCACUAUAUUACAGUUUAAAAUUUUUAAAAAUACAAGAACUAAACUUGAUCAAAUUUCUGAAUCGGUAGUAAGUCCAUAUGAUUAACUGUGCAGUGACUAAUAAGUCCAUACUUCAACAACAAAUGUUAUCAUUAAUCUAGACAAUAAAAGCAAAAGAAUCAAAAAAAAGAAUGAAUCUCAAAGUUCAGCCUAAUAAAGAGGUUGAAAGAAGAUUUAUACCAAAAAUAUUACUUUGCUCAGAAUGUAAUUUGAACUUACAAAUUUUGAACAGUGCUGUAGUGUUCCGUUCCUUGCCACUACUGGAUUUUUGUAAUAGUAUGUAUAGUAGCCCUGCCAUAGCAAACAUUAAUAGAUGUGAAUCAAUAGGUUUUGAGAAUGAAUCUCAACAUCAAUAACCUACCCCUCAUCCUGAGCUAUUUUCGACAGAAAAGAAAUAAAUGAUUAACCAAGGUAGUAACGUACUAAGUUUACAGAGAAGAAUUCUUCUCUUAAAACCAUUUUCAUUGUCUGAUCGAAAUGGUUAAGGUUAUGAAAAUUAUUACCUAAAAAUGUUCUUACUUUCUUAACCCUAAUUUGAAUUUACCGUAUUAAUACCUAAAAAUGAUCUUACUUUCUUAACCCUAGUUUGAAUUUUCUUAUUUCAAUGGCUACUUGUCACUUCAGUGGCUAUUUCUCAACUAAAUACGACGACCCUCAUCAGUCGGCUAGGUAGAAUAAAAACUGAAUUGUAUGUUUAAAAAUUAAACUGUACGAAAAAAAGGAAUAAUGUGAAAACUAAAAUAUGUGAAAACUAUUGCAUUUCACGAAUAAAUAUAGAUGAAAAUGCUGAAAUAUGUGAAAAAUGAAAACCCUUGAACUACCGUCGGCAAGAGAACAAACCUCUAAGCUGGCGAUUUCAAGGUUGCCGAUUUCGGGAAACUCGUUGGGCUGCCGAUUUUCGGGUGAACUUAGGGAUUUCAGGGGGAAUUCUCUAAAAAUCUUAAAGUUUGGGGAACUAAUUAGGGCUGCUGGGGAAAUGAAUGUCGAAAGUCUGCUAGGGAAGAAAGGGGAAAUAAAAAUCGGAGUAAGAGGAAAACGGAGGGGAAGCAAACGACGACGUUUUGCUAAAUGAAAUAAACCCUUGUGGCUUUUAACUAGACGUGCCGCUAAAUCCAUGGAAAUUGCGGCGUUUCAAAACAAACGCCACUAAAAACCCACAAAAAUGGUGACGUUUGCAUUAAUACAACACAAGGAAUUCCGACGUUUUUGACAUUGCGCCUCUAAAUCCUGCAGCAUUUACGGCGUUUGACCAAAAACGCCACUAAAGAAGCUAUCAACACGGUGCCGUUUUGCUGAACACAGAUUCAGGGUAAGGGCAAAACAGAGGACAGAAAAACGAUGACGUUUGAGUAAUAGAAAUAAACUAUUGCGGCAUUUAUUAGAAACGCCGCUAAAUUUCUACCUACUGCGGCGUUUAAUCCAAAACGCCACUAGAGAACCUCCAAAACGGCCGCGUUUGGGUUAAUAGAAAAUGACGUUUGCAUUAAUACAACACAAGGAAUUGCGGCGUUUUUGACAUUGCGCCUCUAAAUCCUGCACAUUUACGGCGUUUCACCAAAAACGCCACUUGUGAAGCCAUUAACACAGCGUCGUUUAGAUAAAAAUAGAAUUAGAACGAGGGAGAAAAUGUAGGAGACCAAAACGACGGCGUUUUACUCUCUGCAAUAAAUGUUUGCGGCGUUUAACUAAAAACGCCGCUGGAUACACACAAAACACAGCCGUUUUGAUAAACACAACGCCGUUUUCAUUAAAAUAUCUUAUCUUUUUGCGGCGUUUUCUGUAUUGCGCCGCUAUAGGUCUACAUAUUGCGGCGUUUCUCUGAAAACGCCACUAAAUAAGCCUAUUGAACGGCACCGUUUUUAUGACAACAUAAUUCCUUUAGUAUGAAAUUUGUUUCUAUAUUUGAAAGGUUUAAUUAUUUCUUAAAUAAAUUUAAAUUAAAUUUGUUCUGUUCCACGCUAUAUAUUUAAUAUGUAAAAUUUUAAUUAUAAUUGUAUACAUGAAAAUAAUUUUAAAUAAUAUCAAAACUCGAGCUAGAUAUAUGUCUUCCUUCUGAAGAAUAUUAUGUAAUUUUUUGUAUUAAAUUAAGAAGGCAAAGCUUAUGAUGUUACGAUAGAAUCGAAAAAAAUUAGACGGAUCAAAACAAUCCGAAAUAGAUGUUCAUGAAUAUUGGUUAAUAGAAAGGAUCGAUAUAUAUAUAAUUCUAUUCCCUUGACUGAUCUUGAUUUUAGUUCAACUAGUAUUCGUGUCUGCGCCAUUCUUCAAACAAGAGCACGAACAUAUGACAUUGUAAGAACCCUACAAUUAGUAAGGGUGAAAAACGCUUCAUUAAAAACACUAAUUAAUCAAAACCCCGAAACACUAAACCCCAAAAUUAUACACCCUAAACACUAAUCCCAAUUACCCCUAAACUUUAAACCCCAGCACUUAAACCCUAAACCAUAAAACAUAAUCACUAAACCCAUAAUCCAUAAACCUUAAAUUGUAACUCUUAAAUCUUAAACCAUAAACCUUAAAGCAUAACCCUUAAACCCUAAACUGUAAAACCAAACCCUAAAUAUAUCCCCAUAACCCCUUAAAGCAUAACCCCUAAAUCCCCCUAACCCCUAAGUCAUAACACCUAACCCUUAAACCACAAAACCUUGAACCUUAAUUCCUAAACCUUAAAUCCAUACCCUGACCUACUCAUGAUUAAACUCUAAACCAUAUACUAUAAUGAUAAUUAAUUCAAUAUUUUAAAAUUAAUACUACCUUUUUUACGAUUAUAUAAGAAAUUAUUUAAUAUAUAAACUAAAAAAAUCAGUAAUGUAUCCAAAAAACUUUAAAAAUAUUUUAAAUAAAUUUAUUUAAAUCCCUGAGCAUUAGCGGCGCUUUAUUAAAAACGCCGCUAAACCCCUGAAAAGCUAAGAAAAUGGUGUCGUUGGGUUAAAUUUUUUUUGCGGCGCUUUCAUAAAAGCGCCGCUAAAAACUCAGCAUUAGCGGCGCUUUAUUAUAAACGCCGCUAAACCCCUGAAAAGCUAAGAAAACGGUGUCGUUGGGUUAAAUUUUUUUGCGGCGCUUUUAUUAAAGCGUCGCUAAAAACCCAGCAUUAGUGGCGCUUUACUAAAAACGCCGCUAAAUCCCCGAAAGCAAAGAAAACGGUGUCGUUGGGUUUAUUUUUUUUGCGGCGCUUCCAUAAAAACGCCGCGAAAGCCCUGCAUUAGCGGCGCAUUAUUAAAAACGCCGCUAAACCCCCCCCGGAAGCUUAGAAAACGGCGUCGUUGGGCUUAGUUUUUUAAAGCGCCGCUAAUUCUUAUUUUCAGUGGCGUUUUCAAUUCAGUGCCGCUAAUGAUCGAUCUUUAGCGGCGUUUGUUAUUAAAACGCCGCUAAAUACACCGCUAAAAGCCUAUUUUGGUGUAGUGUAUCCAUAAUUAAUUUUAAAUAUAUAUAUAUAACAAUGAAAAGUUAAGAAAUUUCAAAAAAAAAAAAAACACUUUUUGUUGAGGCCAUAGAUCAAAUGGUUAUAUUUGUUAAAUGACUACUCCAACCGUUAAAACCAUCUUUGUGAAAAAAAAUCAGCUUGAUCAAGAUUGUAUACAGGAGCUAGAAUUGAAUUACUCAAAUAAUUUAAAUUGUUUUAAAAAAAAUUAAUCAACUUUAAUAAUUUCUUUUGAGAUUAAAAAACUUUAAUCAAUUUUAAAAAAAAUUAAAUUUUAUCCAUCCCUAAUCUUUUAAAUAUAAAGAAAGACUCUAAACAGAUUUUUUUUUAUUAAAAAAAUUAUAAGAUGAUAGAUAGCUACUUAUCAUUAAAUUUAGAAAAUAUUAAAUUACUUUUAUUUUAUUAAAAAAUUAAAAUAAAUUAUUUUUUAAAAUGAAAUAUUCAAAUUACCCUAUGUAUCUUUUAUCCAAAACUAUCUACAAUAAUAUAAAAUAUUAUAUUAAUAAAAUUAAAAUUAAUAAAACAAAUAAUCUUUUAAAAUCAAUAUUUACUUUUGUUAAACAAUAUAAUUAUAUUCGAUACUUAUAUUUACUAAUUUAUCAAAUAAUUUUUAAUAUACAUUUAAAACUUAUAAAAUUUAAGGGUAAAAAUGCAGUGGUUAAAUUUUUAAUAAUUAAAAUUUUAAUUUAUCAUUAGAUUAUGUAAUAAACAACAAUAAUAUAUAAAUAAUGAAAGUCAAUUACGCUCAUUGUCUUCCAUUAAAGAAAAGUUACACUCACGGUUUUUCAGUGAUAUUUCAGAUUUAUUUUUUAAUUAGUUUUUUAAUAAUACAUUUUUUUUUAUCGUAAUCAAAAUAUCUAUAGUUGACAGCAGUUACUAAUCUCUUUUUCGAAGGUAGACAAUGCAUUUUUAAUUACAAUAAUUAGUAUAUUCGUUAUUUAAAUUAUUGAAGAUAAUUAAAUUAUAUUAUCUUAUUUUAAAAAUCAAACUUAUAAUAAUAAAAAAUUUAAAAUGAUAAUUAAAGCAUUUAUAUUAUAUUCAAUGUAGAAUAUAAUUUUACUUCAUUUAAUUUAUACAGAACAACAAUACUAAAAAUAAUAAUAUAAUUAACAUAUAAAAUUAUUUUGUCAUUCAAAUGCAGUGCUAAUAAAAAAAUUCUUAAUAAUUAUUAAAAAAUUGUAAAAAUUAUAAAAAAAAGUAAUAUAUCAUAGGGAUCAUAUAUAAAAUCAUUUAAUAAAAAAAUUAAUCUUCACAAAAUUCCAAUGUAUCCCAAAUAAAGUCAUAAUAAUAAAUUUCUUGAUAUUAAUCAAUAAAGAUUAAAACAAAAAAUAUAUAUUAUCAAAUUAGGAAAACCUACUUGAAAAUCUUGAAAAAUUAAUAUUUAUCAUAUAAAAUUCUAGAGAGAAAAAGAGAAUAAGAAAAAUAUUGGAGAAAGUGAUGAAUAUUAAAAAGAAAAAGAAUAAGGAGUUUUGAAAUUUUGAGUAGGUUGAGAGAUAUUUAUUUUGUUUUAUAUAAAUAAAAUAUUUUUAUAACAAACUUUUUUUUUUGAAGUCACUUUGAGUCCACGAUUUUUUAUUGACUUCGCCCACAUAUUAAAAGUAUAAUAUAAAUAAAAGAAUAAAUAUAUAAUCUUUCUCUAUUUUAAUUAUUUUAUCUACAUAAUGUGAUUUAUUUAAAAUAUAAAUAGUAUGAUAUUUUAAUUGAUUAAGUUUUAGUUCAAUUGGUAUGAGUAUUAUUAUCAAUGCAAUAACACAAUAGUUUGAGCGCCCCUCCUUAAUUUUUUAUAUAUAAAAGUUUUAAUUUAUAAUUUCAACUAAAUUGAACCCAAACAAGCAUAAUCUCUUCAAUCAUGGUUUAGUCAAAUUUAUUAUCUUUAAGUUUGAGAUCUAAUCUUUUAAAUUUUAAUUUGACAUAAUUUAUCCUCUAUUUUUAUAAUAUUAUUUGUUAGUCUAAAUUAUUAAUAUCGAUUAAUUAUUUCAACUAAAAAGCUAAUUUAAUUGUUUCUCAAAAACAUUAUAUCACACAUGAUCAGUUAGGAUGUGUUUUAAGAAAAAAUCUACUUCAAUUAAUUAGUUAUUUGAAUUAGCAUAUGAUAUUAUAAAAAUAGAGGACCAAAUUAUGUUACAUUAAAAACUAGAAGGAUUAAUUUUUAAAUUUGAGUAUAAUAGAGGAACCAAAACUAACUUUGACUUGUCUAUUAUUGUAGCAACCCGAUUUUUGACCCAAAUCGGAACAGUGGUUUCGGGACCACAAAUCCGAAUUAGAAAAAUAUUUUAAUAUUAUUUUCUGUGUUUAUUAUGAGUGAAUUUGAUUGUGUGAAAUUUCCGUGUUUUAAUUUCAUCGUUUAAGUAUCCGAUUUAAUAAAAGGGUUUAAACGCGUAAAAUAAAAAUUUAAGGGUUAAAUCUAAAAGCACCUAAAUGUUGUUGUCUUUUUAAAUGGGAGGAUUUAUGAUGUAAUAAGACCAAAAGUUAGAUAGUGGGUGGCAUUUGACAAGAGUAACCUUAAUAUAUAUGUUAGACAUAAUUAUUAGUAAAAGGUUAAUAUAGUAAUAAGGUAAAUAUUAACUUUAUAAUAAAAUUAAGUAAUGAAAAGAUGAAUAGGUUCAUCUUGGUUAGCCGAAUGUUGAAAAGGAAGGAACCAUACAUGGCUUUUUAAGUUUCGGCACUUCUUUAGCUUGGUUGAGGUAUGUUUUGAUUUCGAUUUUUGAUGAUUUUUACGUUUUUGUAAUCGUUGCUUCGUGUUCUAUUUAGCCCAUGCUUUAAUUUUAGAAUUUGAAGGUGAUUUUGAGAUAUGCCAUUGAUGAAUACUUGAGUUUUAUGAUAGUUAAUGAUGAAAUAUGGAAGAUAUGUGAUAGAUUAUAAUGUUUGUUUUUGAAUUUUUGAUGAAUUUGAUUAUUUUGGGUUAAUUUGUAAGAAAAUAUUAAAUUGAGGGACUAGAAUGUGAAAUAAAUGUCAUGCAAGGACCUAUUUGAGUCUAGGGAAUAUUCGGCCAAAGUACAUUGUGAUUAAUUUGGAAUAUUUUGUGUUUUGUGCAAUUUGGACUAAAUUGUAAAAAUGUUAAAUAUCAGGGGCAAAAUGGUAAAUUACCUAUUUAUGUGUUUUUGGACGGAAUUGAAUGAAAUUAUGUUUGAAUGAGUUAAAUUUGAAUGUGUAUAGAUCAAGAAUUAAAGAAAUCGGACUUGGAUCGGGGGAAAAUAAAGUCGUUGAUUAAUUGUUCCGUUCCGGUUUAUCGCUGUUCGAGGUAAGUUUAUAAGCAAUUAAAUGUUAAAAUUUCUGAAUAAAUUUUAGUUAUAUAAAUGCUGAAAUGAAAUAUGCAAAUAUAUAUAUAGCUGAAUGCGUUUUAGUUCGGAAAGUAGAAAUUGAUGUGAAUGCGAUUUAUCGAUAUUUAGCACUAAGUGUGCGAGUAUGGAAUAGCUACGGCUAAAUGAACGGCACUAAGUGUGCGAAAUUAAAAUAAUGAUGUUGGAUAAUGGGCACUAAGUGUGCGAAAUUAAAAUGAUGAUGUUGUAUAACGGGCACUAAGUGUGCGAUACCGAGAGCAACUUUGUUAGAUGAGAAAGAGCACUAAUUGUGCAAUUUCAUUAUGGCCUCGAUCAAUUAUUUUAGUACAUGAUAGUACAAGUAUACAAUGGAUGAAAAAUACUUGAGAUCAAGGUAAUUUGGUUAUUUCAAUUUUGAUGAGAAAAAAAUUUAUACGAGGAAAAUGAAAGUAUAUGAGCAUAUGAAAGUUUAUAUUUGGUCAAUUGGUAACUAUAUGUGAUUUUAUACUUAUGUUUUAUAUGCACUUAUUUAUGAAUGAGUAUAUUCGGUGAAAAGUGGGUAUAUGAAUUGAAUAUGAAAAUAACUAUGUUAUUAUUUAAAGACUUAUUCGGCCAAGCUGAAAAUUUGUUCAUAGUUACAUAUUUGAUAUUUAAGCUUUGCAAGCUCGAAUAUGUAUAUAUACGAAUAUGAUUGCAUUAUUUGAUUUUGUUAUUGAAUUAUUAAUGUCAUUAAAUUGUACAAUUGCUUAUGACUUACUAAGCUGUGGUAGCUUAUUUUGUAUAUGUGUGUUUUCUUUCGAUUUUAUAGAUUUUGGAAGCUAGUUACGGGUUCGGGGAUCGUCAGCGUAGUUAAUCACACUAUCGUCCGUUCAUCGGUAGUUAUAAAAGUUAAAUAUAAAAUCUAUGGCAUGUAUAGGCUAUACUCCCCUUUUUAUUAUAUUUUGAACAAAGUGUGUAUAUAUAUAUAUAUAAUAGGCCAUGCGAAAAUGGCUUGUUUAUUUUGACAUGAAUGGUUUCAUGCUUUGAAUGUGAUUAUGGUUGAUGAUUUAGCUAUGUUUCAUAGAUGGUUAAGACUUAUAUAAAUGAUGUUAUGCUUUGAGAGAUUUUCAAUUUUGAUUAUUAUGCGUAUUGGUUGUGAUAGACAAGUAAAGAUGAUUAAUAUGAUACGAUGUAAGUAUAAGUUACAUUCGAAUUCAUGGAUGGAAACAUUUUAGUUUUUGGCAAUUGAGAUUGAAUUUGAAUUAUCAUAUAUUAUGUGAAAAAUUGUAUAUUGUUUUAUUAUGAAAAUUGAGUAGUUGAAAUUGGUAAUUUGCAUAAUGAGCAUUGUUUAUGGAAUUGGUCUUGUAAAUGACCUUUGAUACAAUUGAAGGUUAAAUAAUACAUAGUAAAUAUAUAUAUAUAGGAUGGGCCUUGGUAUGUCAUGCAUGAAAUUGUUUGAGUAUUAAUGUAUUUGAUAUUAGUUAAAGUAUAAGUAUUUAAGUUUAAUUGUAUUCGGCUAAAACUUGAGAAGUUGACCGUAUGAAUAGUAAUUAUAAUUGAUUUGUUAGUCGAGUAGGCGAAAUGAGUAUGACCUAAAGUGGUGUUUGAAAUAUUUUGCAUAAAUUUUAAUUAUGAAUUAUGUGUUUAUGAAUUUGGUUCGGUAAUACCUCGUAACCUUAUUCUGAAGAUGGACUCGGGUUUAGGGUGUUACAAUUAUAUAAUAGGGUAAACUACACCACAGAUCACCCAUUUAUUGCUCUUUUUUUUUGUCACUCAACUAUCAUUUUUUUAAUGUGAUCAUUUAAUUAUUACAUUUUUUCUUUUUUGGUCACCCAACUAUCAUUUUUUUUAAAUUUGGUCAUACAACUAAUUGAAAUUAUUUUUGUUUGUCCAUUUCUAUUAAGUGUCGUUAAAUAUUUGACGAAAAAAUGACGUGACGAUUAAAAAAUUGGUAUAACAAUAAAUUUAACUCUAACUUUUAUAUAUUCUAUUGAUUUAUUAUUAAAUCAAUUUUAAUUUCAUGGCAACUGACAAAAAUAUACCAAAAAAAAUCUAAUUUAAUUAAAUGAAAAAAAAAACCAAUAAUGUAGUUUACCUAUAUAAUUAUAAGAUGUGGGCCGAACCUACCGGCCUAUAAUGUUUUACCACGAGGGAAUGUAAAAUUUCGAGACUGCCCUGCAAUCAUUUAAGCAAGUCAACUGAAGUCGAGCGGAUGUCCUUCGAUUUUUCAACAUUGGCUGCUAAAAUACCCGUAUAUUUCUCAUCAUUUAGGCAAACCAUUCCAGAGUAGAUAUCAAAGAAAAAAACAGCAGACAGGGUGAAGCAACGCCAAGGUAACAUAUAUUUUUCACAGUAGCUAAGCUAAGUAUAUUUAUUUGUUAACUCUGAUUUGAAUCGCUUUUCUGUGAAGUAGGUUACUCGCAACAAAUUCGUAUAAUCAGACGCUUUUCUCGUUUGCUUCAUCUGAGUGUAAUAGUUCAGGUAAGCUUUUCUUUCAUUUUAAAAGAAGGAAGACGAUGGGUGUGGGUUUGAGAAUAAUCUGAUUUCUUCUUUGUUUUGGAGGAAUUUCAAAAAUCUGACUUCCCAGUUUCGCAACAAUCUUACCUUCUAUAGUUUUUUUUUUUUUUAAUCUUAAAGUCAUUGAACAGUAGAAUAUAAUAUGUAUAAUAAAAUAUAAUAAAUAUAUAGAUCCAUAAUAAUUAGACCUCCUCUGGUUUCUCCGGUCUGUGUUUUCGGGCCCCUUAGACUUUUGUCUAGCAUCUUCUUUUUUGUACAACUUUUGAGAACUGUCGUCCACUGUCUGUAACUUUUUUAUAAUGAAAGUUUCUUUCAUAAAAUAAUCAUAAUUAGAAAAACGUAAUAUUUGAUUGGGUGAGAGAAAAAGACAAUAUAGGCAAGCUACUCAUAUUUUUAUUUUAAAUCAUUUCAAAAGAAUUUUUUAAUUUUAGUUAUCUGAACAUAAAAAUGAAUUAAAUUGACCAAUAAGUGGUAAUAAAAGAUUAACUGUACAUUUUUACCUUAAUCACUCUAAAAUUUAGAUAAAUUAUUCUUUAGUCACUGUAUAUAAAAACUAUUGCUACAUUGGUUUACCCAGUGGAUAACAUUUUACCUUAUAUAAAGAUAAAUUCCUAUUAUCACAGCUUUCCUCGUUUGCCUCAUCUUUGUAUAAUAUUUCAGGUAAGCUUUUCUUUUAUUUUCAAAGAUGAAAGACUAUGGGUGUGGGUUUGAGAAUAAUCUGAUUGCUUCUUUCUUUAAGCUAUGGUUUUGGAGGAAUUUCAAAUCUGACUUCCAGAUUUGAGUUUCGCAACAAUUUCUAGUUUUUUCUUUUUUAAAUUAAUUAUUCCGCCAUUAAAUGUAACAAAAGGCUAACAACGUAUUUUCACAUUCAUCACACUAAAACAAGGGGUUGUUACUGCUUUGGUUUAGGAUAACAUUUGAUCUUAUAUUUUUGUAUACGUUAGUUUUGUAAUUUAAUAACUUUUCUCAAUUUUGAAAAUUUUAAAUAUUCAAAGUCUAUUUGGACAUCACAAAAUAUUUAGUUGGAUAUUUAAUUUUGAAAAAUUGGGUGGCUAAAAGAAACAUAUUUAAUAGUUGAUUGACCAAGAUAUAAUAAACUAAAUAGUUAAAUGAAUAUUCAUAAAAUAUUUAUUAAUUUAAUUUUAAUAUAUUUCUGAUAACCAAAUUAUAAAAAUAUUCACUAUUGGUCUAACCAAAAUAAUUUACGUGUUUAACAGAAAAUUAUAUUUUAAUUUAAAAUUUAAUAAGAAAAAUAAUUUAUUAAUGAAAAAGGAAAUGACAAAAGAAUUUAAGCUAUAAUAAUAAGAAAAUCAUAUUUUAAUAAUAAAACACUAAAAUAAAUUCACAAAAAAUAAUAAUAAAAGGGAAAAGCUAAUUAGACAUUUUAGAAAGUUAAAAUGUUUUUAGUUCAAUCAAAGUACUUUGCACGUUGUAUCCAAAGUAUAUUAUUUAACUUUUAUAAGAAAAAUAUUUUUUAAAUAAAUAAAAAGAACAAAAGGAAAAAAUAAAUAUAAUAAGAAAAAAUAUUUUACUGGAAAAAAAAAAGAAUUCAUAAAAAUUAUACGAAAAAGGAAAAUCAAUUAAAUACUUUAUAAUAUUAUUUUAAAAGAACUCAUAAAAAAUUAAAUAUUUUAAAAGGGUAAAAAUGUUUUAUUUACAUAUUUUAUAUACGUAUUUUAGAAGAUUUUAUAUAUUUUGGAAGAAUAUUUUAUUUUUUAAUACCUUUUGGAGCUGACACUUAAUUUAUAUAUUGAUAGAUAUAUAAUCGUACAUUAAAAUCUAUCCUUCAUAAAGAAGUAAGUGUGACUAAUGGACGUAGUUAUUAUUACUACAUUGCAGAUUAUUUGGUGAAUUAUGGAACUUGCAGGACCAAUUUGUGAAGUGCUAAAGUGCUUAGGAGAUCCAACAUGUACAUACAUACAGCAUCACAGAAAACUUAAAGACAGGAUGAAUGAUCUUCAAGAGAGACUAGUCCGACUAAAUGCUAUGAAGAGAGAUGUGGAGCGGAGAAUAAACGCAGAGCUUCGAUGGGGAAGACUUUUAAGGGAAGAAGUAGAGAAGUGGCUUCUAGAUGUGCAAACCGUCAAUGAUACAAUGCGGGACAUUGAUGAACGAAUGCAAAAUGUGUCUUGUUUUUCACGUGCACGCCUUGGAAAACGUGCAGUUCAAACAAUUGAACAAGUGGAGGGAAUUAUUGAACGAGGUAGGUUCCCUGAAGCUCUAGUAAUUGAUAAUCCAUCUACUGCUGGAGUGCCUUUUCAAUCGGAACAUUUAGAAGGUGAAAUCAUGGUGAUAAAAGACAUUUGGAACUAUUUAAUGAGUGAUGAAAUUGGAAUGAUUGGAGUAUGUGGGAUGGGUGGGAUCGGGAAAACCACUAUCGUGAAGCACAUAUACUAUCAACUAUUGAAGGAGACUAAACCUUUGUUUGAUAAAAUCAUUUGGGUCACUGUUUCAAAGGAGCUCAACAUUCCCAAAUUACAGCAAAACCUUGCAACUGCUAUGAAUAUUGUAGGUCUUCCAGAAUCUGAACCAGAGCGUGUAGCAGUAUUAAUGGAUAAAUUGGGACAAAGAAGAUAUGUAUUGAUCUUAGAUGAUGUUUGGAAAAAGUUCUCUCUGGCAGACGUAGGGAUUCCUAAACCAACCUCCAGCAAUGGGAGUAAGUUGGUAUUAACUAGUAGAUUGAUUGAGGUUUGUAGAUCAAUGGACUGUAAGGUAGUCAAAGUGCCUCCACUCUCCAAUGAGGAGUCCAUGAAUUUAUUCUUGAAGCAUGCUGGACGUGGGGUUUUAAAGGUUCCAUCUUUGAAAGAAAUUUUGGACAACGUUGUUAAGGAGUGUGAUGGGUUACCCCUUGCCGUUGCUGUAAUAGCUGGGAGCAUGAAGGGAAUAUAUAACGUUGAAGAAUGGAGGAACGCAUUAAGAGAGUUACGAGACCAUGUAAGAAGCGUGAAGGGCACAGAUGUUGAAAUAUAUGAGCGAUUGAAGUUCAGUUUCGAUCGUUUGGGAGAUUUGAAAAUCCAAAGUUGUUUUCUUUAUUGCUCACUAUAUCCAGAAGACUAUAUAAUUCCAAGGAAGGAAUUAAUAGAAUACUGGAUAGAUGAGGAAUUUCUUGGAAAUGGGAGUCGACAAGAGUUGCAUGAUAAGGGUCAUACUAUAUUAAAUAGGCUGGAAAAUAAUUGUUUGUUGGAAAAGGUUGGUAGAGAUAUUGUGAAGAUGCAUGAUGUAAUGAGAGAUACAGCAUUGUAUAUCAAAGGUUCUGGCUCCCGUUUUAAGGUACAAUCUGGCAUCGGACUAAAAGAACUACCAAGCAAGCAAGAAUGGGGAGAAGAUCUUGAAAAAGUUUCCUUCAUGGUGAAUAACGUAUCUGAGAUUCCUCCGCACUUGUCACCCAAUUGUGAAGUUCUUUCUACCUUAUUAUUGCAAAAGAAUGAAUCAUUACAAAGGAUUUCAGAAUCGUUCUUUCAACAUAUGCAUAGACUCAGCAUUCUUGAUCUUUCUUAUACCAAUGUCAAGCAACUGCCAACUUCUGUGUCAAACUUGGAAAAGCUCAAAGCAUUGGUGCUUCGUCGAUGCUACAACUUGAGAUAUGUGCCUUCACUAGAAAAGCUUGAGGCUCUAAGAAAGUUGGACCUCAAUCGUACAGCUAUUGAAAAGGUGCCUAAAGGUUUGGAAAUGUUAUCAAAUCUAACUUAUCUUAAUUUAUGUGCUGAAAGCUUAAAGGAGCUGCCAGUUGCAAUUCUACCCAGGCUUUCUUGUCUGCAAUGUUUGAUGUUAUACGUUGAAUCAAGUCGUAUAAGAAUGAAUGGAUUCGAUGCUACCAGAUUAACGAAGCUAGAGAGAUUUGAAGGGAGAUUUACUGAGUUGAUAGACUUUAAUGCCUACACCAAGUCUAUACAAUGUCAACUGCUCACUUCUUACUUGCUUGUCAUGGCACCACUUGAAGCCAAGUUUAACGUGAAACAACGUAUAAAAGGCAUAAAUUGUGUUUACCGUUUCAAGUUGUUGAAUGUGGACAGCGACAAAGGGAGGCAGAAGGCGAUGAUGCUCGCAAGCGGGCUCCAAGGUACGGAUGCAAUUAAAUCCAUAAAAAUUCAAUAGAGUAGGGACCAUUUAGAAGGCCGAUUAAGGCCAGUGCGGGUAAGUUGGUAGUCCCAACUGUGUUGAAUGUCAUCGUGUGGCGCUGUGGAGACUGUAUCUCCACCCUGCUGCAUACCCAUGUUUUCUGACUGGACCCUUAAAGGUCCAGUGCCACUCACCGCACUCCCCUUCCCAUUAUAUCUCCUAAAGCUUUAUUAUAAUAAUAAUAAUAAUAAUAAUAAUAAUAAUAAUUAUUAUUAUUAUUAUUAUUAUUAUUAUUAUUAUUAUUAUUAUUGUUGUUGUUGUUGGACAAACCUUUAUUUCUCCCCCCAUCUUCUUGUUGUUUGUUGGUUUUUUCCCUUUUAUUUAUUCAAGGCUUUUAGUUAAUUAUUUAGUUAUAAAUGAAUUUAUAAAAUUAUCAUAGUAAAGGUUUAGAGUAAAUACUUUACACAUAUAAUUAAUUACACAAAAUAGCUUUAUAAUUAAUUAAUUACAAAUAAGAGUAAAGAGCCAGAACAUUGUAAAUUCUAAAAUAAAAGCAUAAGAAUAAUAUAUAUAAAUAUAUAAAUAAAUCAAGAAAUAAUCGAAUAAAUUGCCAUUAAUAUAUAAUCAUUUUUAAUAUAAAAUAAUGUGUCAACGAUUAAAAUUUUUAAGAUUUUAAAUGUUAAAUAAUGUUAUUAGGGAAAAAAAAGGUUAAAUAAUAUUAAAAUACAUAUAAAAACAACAAAAAAUUUAUUUUUUAAGUAUUAAUUAAUGUGAAUAUGUUAUUAUCAAUUCUUUUUAAAUAAUAUUAAAAUACAUAUAAAAACAAACAAAUUUUAUUUUUUUAAGUAUUAAUUUAUGUGAAUAUGUUAUUAUCAAUUCUUUUUUUUUAUUAAUUUCCCAUUACUUAUAGCAAAACUACUAUUUGGCAUAAAAAUAUUUUAAUAAAAUUUAUUUAUGACAUAAAUGUCAAAUUAUUUAAAAAUUAUGUUACACUCAAACUUUAGUUUGGCAUUUGUAUUUGUUUUGUUAAUAUAAUUUACUCACUGCCAUUUGUUUUUAUUAUCUAAUCACUUCGUAUUAUCCAUUUUGGUUCUACUGUGUUAUAGUUACUUGUACGUAGAGCAAUUAAAUUCUCUUUUACAAACCUUUUGAAUAUCACUUAAACCAAUUAUUUAAAUUCUAAAAUAAUCGUAUAUGACUCUACCGAGUGUAUUUUAUAAAGUUAUACUAAAUAUUAUAUUAUUUAAAUUUAAAAAAAUUAUAAAAUUAUGCUAAAAAUUAUAUUGUAAAAAAUAAUUUAUAUGUUACAAAAAGUCUUACAAUCUUUUUUUUUUUUAGUUAUGAAAAAAAAUUAUAUAAUUUGUAAGAAAUGUUAUGAAAGUUAUUGAACACUAUAUAAUUUUUUUAUAAAUAUUUUAUAUUAUUUUUUACCUGAUUUAUUUAUUAUAAAAAUAGUUAUAGCAUAAGUUUUUAUCCAAAUUAAGUUUAAGUUUUUAUAAUCAAAACUAAAUUAUAAAGUUUGUAAUAAUAAUGAUUUACUCAUUUAUUUCAACAUCAUAUAUUUACAAAUUAUGUAGUUUUCAUUCUUUAAAGGUUUAUUUAAAUUGUUAUUUAUUUAAACACUUAAAUUUUACAUUCCAACCAAAUAAAAUAAUCUUAUAUUCACCCACAAUUCUAUUAUUCCACAAACUAACUACACCUUUAAAUUUUUAUUUAUUUAUGCUCCUGUGCUUUAAUACGGUAUGGUGGCUAAUGUAGUACCCCCCCCCCCAAAAAAAAAUACAAUUGGCAAUAGUAACACUAAUGAUUAAUUAUAUUAGAAAUUGAGUUUGAUAAGUACUAUCAUUCUUGAUUGGUGAAGGUGCGGAAUCUGUUUCCUUGAUCUCUAAAGAUAGGACGAUUCUGGAAGUGUCUGGUGACUCAGAAAUGGGACCCACUAAAAUUGCGGCAAAUUGGAAGAAACGAGGUAUAGAAGUGCAGCUCGUGGAUGAGCGGUGGGACCCUACCUCUCUUCCUAUGAAAUACGUGAUAUUAAGCGGGUGUCCGAUAGGACGAGAAGAUCCAGCAGAGCUCCCAAGUGACGUUAGGACUCUGAAAAUUUUUGGGUGCCACAAUAUCAGAAGCUUAAGUGAUAUGCCCUUCUUUCAGCAAACAAAUGAGUUGGGGUUCUGUUCGAUUCACGAUUGUAGAGGGAUAGAAUCUGUGCUUGAUCUGUCGUCACCAUCCCAAUCAUGCACCCCAUUUGAGAACCUUGACCUCUUGUGGCUUGAAAAUUUAGAGAACCUUCAUGUGCUUGUUAAACUAGCAGAAGCAUCCGUUGUUUCUACAUUGAGUUCGCAGUCUAUUCCAGCCAUCUUUUCCCAUCUUAAAUCAUUUUAUAUUGAAGGAUGCUCAAACAUGAAGCAGCUCUUUCCCUUUGACUUGGUACAUGACCUCCAAAACCUAGAGAACCUCAUAGUUCGUGGUUGUGGACAAAUCGAGGAAAUAAUAGGAUCAAAAGAAGAGGAAGAGAAUCACAAGGGAAAUGGAACGCAAGCUCCAACAAAGUUCAGCCUUCCCAAAUUAAGGGAGUUAGAAUUGAAGAACUUACCAGAGCUGAAGAGCAUAUGCAGUUCAAAUAGGGAAAUGGUAUGCAACUCUCUUAUGAAAAUCGAAGUAAAGAAAUGUACCAAUCUAAAAAGGAUGCCUCUGUAUCUUCCUCUUUUUCAAGAUACACACCAAUCAGCUCCUUCUGCUCAUCCUUUUUUACUAAUCCGCAUAGAUCCAAUGGAGUGGUGGGAAUCAGUAGAGUGGGACUAUCCGAAUGCUAAGGAGGUUCUGCGACCUUGGUUGAAAUUGUAUUAGCGCUGCUGGAAGCCUUUGCUGUUCAUAUCAAAUUCCGGAUCAAGCUAAACAGUGAGUCUUCAUUUGUUGUUUUUAUUUCUAGAAAAAAAAUUGAAGAUCUUUUAUUCUACCAAAAAGAAAACGGGAAAUCUGCAAGAAGAGGAUUAUGAUUGGCAAAAUAGAGACCAAAGAGAACAAAACUAUUACUAAUGUUUGAAACAAAUUUAGAUCAAUUAGCAUCAUGCUUUGUUACCAGCUGUAGGCCAAAUUGGUUGAAAAUGGUUUCAGUAAAGCACGGUCUCAUUUGCUUCUUUGUUUAACCCCAAUGGUUAGGCUUGCUCUAGAACCCUUGAGAUUCUCAUUAUGACAUUAAUGAUUUGAAUGAACCAACAGCCCCUUUUUCUUCUUUAUUUUGUAACUGCAAGCUUUAAGUUGAUAUAAAUAUGUUUUCCAAUGUAGUAUUCUUGUUUGCUUAGAUCAAUGUCAAAAACCUUGCCUCUAAUGCUUCCCUUACUUCUCCACUUUUUUUUUUUUUUUUAAAUUCUUUGUGGGGUCUUAUUAAAUACAGGUUGUUUAUGCCAUUCUAAAGCUAGCAAAGCAGUUGGCUUGACAAUCAAAUCUUGGAGAAACAAGUCAACCCAACUCAUCACUGUACCUUCAUUCUUCUGUGGGGGUUCUAUCUUUGAUGUGGUACUUCGUCGGAUGCAUCCUUCUCUUGUGGUUUUAUCUGUAAUAAAUGAACUUCAAUUUGGUUUCAAUGUGAUUGGAUUGUUGAUGUUGUAAUUCAACUUUGUACUUGAUAAUCCUGCUUCUAGUUUGCAUCAUUUUUUACUAUGUGGUUAUGUUUCCUGUGGCUUAAUUGUCUCAUUUGAUCUUGGAACUUGCACAUUUAUAUAUAUAUAUAUUGAACCAUCCCACAGGUAUAUACCACUUCUUGAAAUGGUGUUUUAUUUAGGUGGCCUUUUUGCUAUUGUGAACCAUCCCAAUGCUAAGCAGGAUCUGCUACCUUGGUAAUGCUAUAGCGCUACUGAAAGGCUUUGUACUUAGAUCAUCUUGAUUUUAAUUAAUUUGCAUCAUUUCAUUAUUUGAUUGUAAGUGUAUUUUCUCAUCUUGCGAAUUGGACUUAAUAAUCUAAGUUGUUUGCUUAUCAAUUAUACUUUUUACAAAACAAGUCCAGGAAAAGAUUGCAAACAGGGUUACAGGAUUGCUGGGAUUUCAAUUUUAUGUGUAUGCAUAUUAUUUAAUUUCUUAGGAUUAGAGCUCAUUUAUUUAUUUAUACUAGAUUUAUGGCACACUCAAUUGUGUAAAUUUUGGUUACAAUGAUAAAAUUAGUUCACAUCGUGCAUAAAGUUCUAAAUUCAAAUCAAUUUAUAGUAAGUUUUUAUUGAUUUAUAUUGUGUAAAAAAACAAAAACACUCUCAUUAGAAAUAAUUAAAGUUAAAUAUGGGUGAAUAUUUUAAUAAUUCCGUAGUUAACUUAAUACCUAACAGAAUCGAUAUAGUACUUAAAAUAAGUAUACACGUAAGUAUAGAUGAUGACUAUAAAAUAAUUUAGGCACUAAUUUCAGAGUGUUGUUAUAUCCAAUACCCACCACCUAGAGGCUUUCAAGCUAUAGAAAGGGUCCAAAACUCUAUCUAUUCCUUGCAUCUGAUGGUGGGGUAAUGUUUAGACAUAAUCUAGAUUUGGAUUUGAUUAUCUAGAAUUUUCAAAUUAAAUUGAUUUGGUUUCAGAAUUAGAAUAAAAAGCUAGUUUUGAAAUUUAUUUUAUUUAAGUUGGAAUGUAUUUUAUUUUGAGUCUAAUUUAAUUAAUAAAAUAAUUUUAAUUUAAUAUAUUAAGUCAAGAUUUUUAGUUGAUUAAGCAAUUUAUUAGUGAUUAAUGGAACUAGUUCAAAAAUUUAUCUUAACUGAAAUAAUUACAUUAAAAAAAUUUAAAAUAUCAUAGAGUGAACAUGAUAUAGUUUACUUUUUUUCAUCCUACUUAUGAGUCUUCUUGAAUAGUUUCAUUAUCUUCACAAUUUGCAUUCAUGUAGUUAUAUCACUCUACUUUUAGUUAUCCAUAAUUAAUUUUUUGAAAAAAUAUAUAUAACAAUGAAAAGUUAAGAAAUUUCAACCAAAAAAAAAAAAAAACACUUUUUGUUGAGGCUAUAGAUCAAAUGGCUAUAUUUGUUAAAUGACUACUCCAACCGUUAAAACCAUCUUUGUGAAAAAAAUCAGCUUGAUCAAGAUUGUAUACAGGAGCUAGAAUUGAAUGACUAAUAAUUUAAAUUGUUUUAAAAAAAUUAUUCAACUUUAACAAUUUCUUUUGAGAUUAAAAAAAUUUAAUCAAUUUUUUAAUAAAUUAAAUUUUAUCCAUCCCUAAUCUUUUAAAUAUAAAGAAAGACCCUAAACAGAUUUUUUAUUAAAAAAAUUAUAAGAUGAUAGAUAGCUACUUAUCAUUAAAUGUAGAAAAUAUUAAAUUACUUUUAUUUUAUUAAAAUAUUAAAAUAAAUUAUUUUUUAAAAUGAAAUAUUCAAAUUACCCUAUGUAUCUUUUAUCCAAAACUAUCUACAAUAAUAUAAAAUAUUAUAUUAAUAAAAUUAAAAUUAAUAAAACAAAUAAUCUUUUAAAAUCAAUAUUUACUUUUGUUAAAACAAUAUAAUUAUAUUCGAUACUUAUAUUUACUAAUUUAUCAAAUAAUUUUUAAUAUAAAUUUAAAACUUAUAAAAUUUAAUGGUAAAAAUUCAGUAGUUAAAUUUUUAAUAAUUAAAAUUUUAAUUUAUCAUUAGAUUAUGUAAGAAACAACAAUAAUAUAUAAAUAAUGAAAGUCAAUUACGUUCAUUGUCUUCCAUUAAAGAAAAGUUACACUCACAGUUUUUCAGUGAUAUUUCAGAUUUAUUUUUUAAUUAGUUUUUUAAUAAUAUAAUUUUUUUAUCGUAAUCAAGAUAUUCACAGUAGAUAGUAGUUACUAAUCUCUUUGUCGCAGGUAAAUAAUGUAUUUUUAAUUAUAAUAAUUAGUAUAUUCGUUAUUUAAAUUAUUGAAGAUAAUUAAAUUAUAUUAUCUUAUUUUAAAAAUCAAACUUAUAAUAAUAAAAAAUUUUAAAUGAUAAUUAAAGCAUUUAUAUUAUAUUUAAUGUAGAAUAUAAUUUUACUUCAUUUAAUUUAUACAGAACAACAUUACUAAUAAUAAUAAUAUAAUUAACAUAUAAAUUUUAUUUUGUCAUUCAAAUGCAAUGCUAAUAAAAAAAUUGUAAAAAUUAUAAUAAAAAAAGUAAUAUAUCAUAGGGAUCAUAUAUAAAAUCACUUAAUAAAAAAAAUUUAAUCUUCACAAAAUUCCAAUCUAUCCCAAAUAAAGUCAUAAUAAUAAAUUUCUUGAUAUUAAUCAAUAAAGUUUAAAACAAAAAAUAUAUAUAUUAUCAAAUUAGGAAAACCUACUUGAAAAUCUUGAAAAAUUAAUAUUUAUCAUAUAAAAUUCUAGAGAGAAAAAGAGAAUACGAAAAAUAUUGGAGAAAGUGAUGAAUAUUAAAAAGAAAAAGAAUAAGGAGUUUUGAGAUUUUGAGUAGGUUCAGAGAUAUUUAUUUCUUUUAUAUAAAUAAAUUAUUUUUAUAACAAAAUGUAAUAUCCAAAAAAAUUUACAGUAAGAUAUUAUCUUUGAUAUAAUAAAUAAGGAAAUAAAAUAAAAAAAAAGGAAAAUUUUAGAGCUAAGUCAACAUGGGGAAGUAUAUUAUAUUACAUAUAAUAUAAUAAGUAGAGUAGAUUAUAGAAAAGAUCCAUAAUAAUUAGACCUCCUCUGCUUUCCCCCAUAUUUGUUUUCCGGCCUCUUAGACUUUUGUCUAGCAAAUAUUACAACUUCUAGUUUCCAUAAGUUGUGGAUUAGUAUUUAUAUUUUAACUUGAUUAAUUUAAGCCAUUAUAUUUUUCUAAUCGGUCUUAAUUCCUGUAAUUUUUAAAUUAUUAAAUAUAAUUAAAUUAUUUUAUUUUAUUUAAUAAUUCAAAUAUUAUAAUAAUGAUAACUUUCAAAUUAUAAUUAAAUCACUUUAAUUAUAUUCAAUAUAAAUAUAUUUUUACUUCAUAUAAUUCAUACAAAGUAACAUUACUAAAAAUAAUAGCAUAAUUAACAUAUACCAAUUAUUUUAUCAUUCAAAUAUAGUGCUAAUAUUUUUUAAAUAAUUAUUGAAGUCUUCAUUAUUCAAUGUACUAUUCAUUAAAUUUUUAUAUAUGAAAUAUAAAAUACUUAUUAUAUAAAUUAUUUAAAUUUGCUAUUUUGGAACCAACAUAUAUUUUCCAUAGAAACGCAAUGAUUAAAUUAUAAAUUAAUUUAAUAUAAAUAUUAACUUUUUAUUUACUAUUCUAAAUUUUAGCAGAAUCAAAUUUUUUAUAAUUUUUUUAAUUUAUAAGUAUGAUAAAUUUUAUUAUCAAAUAAAUUUUUUUAACCAAACAUUUUAGUAAAAUUAAUUUUUUAUAAAUAUGAUUAAUCUUAUAAAUAAUAAAAUAUUUUAAAAUAAUAAAUUUAAUAAUAUAACAAACAAUAAAAAUUAUAUUGAUUAGUUCGAAUCUAAACUCGUAUUUUUAUAUAUAUUAGUCUUUGACAUAUGUGCAAUGUUUAUAUUUUUAUUAUUCUUUUUACAAUAUUAAAGAAGUACUUAUGUUUGUUUGAAAGAUGGAUAUAUCGCAUAUAUAUAUUUUAUUAUCUUUACAAAAUUAAUUAAAAUAUUAUAAUAAAAUAAUUUAGUAUAACAUAUAAAAUAAACUAAAUAAAUGUGUGAUCAUAAUGAAUGAAGAUUAUAAUUUUGCAUCAUUAUCGAUUUAAACGAUCUUUCAUCUCUUUCUUAUAGUGUUGUCAUUUGACAAUCACUUGAAAUUUCCUUUGAAAACCUAUUACUUUAAUACUCAAUAUUUUUUAGAUACUUAAAACUUAUCAAUCUAACAGUCUUCAUUUGUUGAAUAAUAUUUAUAAUAAUAGAUCUUAAUUUUAAUUGGUAUAUAAAUAUAACACUAAUUAAAUGAUAACUGAUUUAAAAUAAUAUUUAUUAUUAAUAAUUAAUAUACUCAAUUGUAUAGUUCAAACCAAUAAAAACUCUAUUAUACAAAAAAUAUUAUUAUUAUAAUAAUUUUAUCUAUUAACUUUUAUUGAGACUUUAUCUAUUACUAGUAUACCUAUCAUACCCAUAUUCGUGUGAAAAUAUUUAGAAUGUAUGUGACCGUAUUUUCAAAUGAAAAAAAAAAUCUAUUAUUUAAAAAAAUAUUUUAAACUCAUACUUUUAUAUAUAUAUCAAACUCGUGCACAUCUAUAUUAUUAUUAUUAUUAUUUUGUACAAGAGGGACAUGCUACAAAAUUGAUGUGAAUAAAAUCAUAAAAGAAUUUAAAAUGAUAAGAUAUUACUUAUUGAUUAAAUUGAAUAGUUUAAGUAAUAAUGAAAAUAUAAUUAAAGAUGGAUUAUUUUAAUAAUUGUUAUGAUUUAAAUAAAGGUAAAAUAACAACUCUUUCUUAAAAAUUUAUGAUUAAAUAUUAAAUUUCAAAAAAUAAAAAGUAUUAAAGAAAUUAGAUUAAAGUUUGAUUUAAUUUAUAUAUGCAUACUAAUAAUAUAUAAAAUUAAGGGUAAGCUACACUUAUGGUCACUUUUGUUUGAUUUAACAAUGUCUUUAUCAUUUCACGGAGAUAAUACCAACACUAACAACCAUACUUUUUGCUACAAAGAUAAUAUCAAUUUCAAGCCUUAGUGGUCUCGUGUCUUAAUCUAUUUUUAGCUCAAGCAUCGGAGAGAGAUUACAGGUAAAGGAUAUGGCAUUUUAUAUUUCCAACUUUGUCAAUUGAAUAAAAAAAAAUAAAAGGUAUUUUUGAAAGUCAUUUUUUAUAUAAAAUCUUUAAAAUAUUUUUUUACUUUUAAAAUUUUUAAUUUUUUUUAUAAUUUAUAUUUAAUUUUUAAAAUUUUAAGAAUUUUUAAAUAUUUUUAUAAUUUUUAAAAUUCAGACUAAAAUGACAAAUUUUGUAAACAUUGAGGACUAACUUUGUUGAAUUUUUAAAAUUUAGGAUCAAAUUAGUAGAAUGUGUAAAUAUUGAAGGGUUAAAUUUUUUAUUAGGCCAAUAAAAUAAAGUCACGUUAGACUAACUCACGGAAGAAUGACUAAAAUAUUUAAUUUCAAAAAAUUAAAUAAUUAAAAAAAAAUUAAUAGUUGGGUGAUUGAAAUAGAACAAUAUGAAUAGUUAGAUGACUAUUCUUGUACUUUACAACUAAAAUAUUAAUUUAAUUUAGGUUUAACAUAUUUCUGUUAAUCAAAUUGUAAAAAUAUUCAGUAAUUGUUGGUCUAACAAAACAAUUUAAUAGUUUCACAAAAAAAAAAAUAGUUUAAUUCAAAACUUAUUAAGAAAAAAAUAUUUAAUAAUGAAAAAAAGAAAAGCAUUUUUUUAAAAAAUUUGUAAUAAUAAGAAAAAUAUUUUCUUAUAAAAAUAAGAAAAAUAUUUUUUAAUAAUAAAACACAAAAAGAAUUCACAAAAAUACUGUAAUACAAAAAGGGAAAAUUGUAAUUAAAUAUUUUUUAAUAUUAUUUUAAAACAAUUUAUAAAAAUAAUUAAACAUUUUAAAAAGUCAAGAUGUUUUUAAUUCAACCAAAGUACUUUGCACGUUGUAUCGAAAGUAUAUUAUUUAAAUUUUAUAAGAAAAAUAUUUUUAAAUAAAUAAAAAGCACAAAAGAAAAUAAUUUAAUUAUAAUAAGUAUUUUUCGGGUAAAAAGAGGGGAAAAAAUAAAAGAAUUCAUAAAAAUGAUAUGAAAAGGAAAAGUUAAUUAAAUGCUUUAUAAUAUUAUUUUAAAAGAGCUCAUAAAAAUAAUUAAAAAUUUUAGAAGAAUAUUUUAGUUUUUCUUAACACUUUUUGGAGCUGACACAUAAUUUAUAGAUAGAUAGAUAAUCAUACCCUAAAAAUCUAUCCUUUAUAAAGAACUAAAUGUAGUUGUUAUUAUUACCUUGCAGAGUAUUUGGUGAAUUAUGGAAUUUGUAGGACCAAUUUGUGAAGCAUUAAAGUGCUUAGGAGAUCCAACAUGUACAUACAUAGAGCAUCACAGAAAACUUGAAGACAGGAUGAAUGAUCUUCUGGCAAAACAACGCCAACUAAAUGCUAUGAAGCGAGAUGUGGAGCUGAGAAUAGAGGCGGAGCUUCGAUGGGGAAGACUUUUAAGGAAAGAAGUAGAGAACUGGCUUCUAGAGGUGCAAACCGUCAAUGGCAAAGUACAGGAGGUUGAUAAAAGAAAGCAAAAUGUGUCUUGUUUUUCACGUGGGCGCCUUGGGAAACAAGUUUCCCAAACAGUUGAAGAAGUAAAGGAAAUUAUUGAACAAGGCAGGUUCACUGGAGCUCUAGUAAUUGAUGAUCCAUCUACUGCUGGAGUGCCUUUUCAGUUGGAACAUUUGGAAGGUGAAACCGAGGUGAUUGAAGUCAUUUGGAAGCAUUUGAUGAGUGAUGAAAUUGGAAUGGUUGGUGUAUGUGGAAUGGGCGGGAUCGGGAAAACCACUAUAAUGAAGCACAUACACGAUCAACUAUUGGAGGAGACUAAAUCUAAACCCUUGUUUGAGAAAAUCAUUUGGGUCACUGUUUCACAGGACUUCAACAUCACCAGGUUACAACAAGACAUUGCAGAUGCUAUGAAUAUUAAAGAUCUUCCGGAAUCUGAAGAAAAGCGUGCAGCUGUGUUAAGGAACAAAUUGCGACAAAUAAGAUAUGUAUUGAUCUUAGAUGAUGUUUGGGAAGGGUUCGUUCUCGAAAAGGUAGGGAUCCCUGAACCAAUAUCCAGCAAUCGGAGUAAGUUGGUAUUAACUAGUAGAUUGAAAGAGUUUUGUAAAUCUAUAGGCUGUCAUGAGAUAGUCGAAGUGCCUCUACUUUCCUUUGACGAGUCCAUGAAUUUAUUCUUGGUUCAUACCGGACAUGAGGUUCUAAAGGUUCCAUCUUUGGAAAAAAUUUUGGGCGAUAUUGUUAGAGAGUGUGAUAGGUUACCCCUUGCCAUAAAAGUAAUAGCUAGUAGCAUGAAGGGAAUAUAUGAUGUUGUUGAAUGGAGGAAUGCAUUAACAGAGUUACGUAACCAUGUAACAAGUGUGAAGGACACAGAUAAAGAAAUAUACGGGCGAUUAAAGUUCAGUUUCGACCGUUUGAAAGAUUUGAAUAUCCAAAAUUGUUUCCUUUAUUGCUCACUGUACCCAGAAGACUAUAGAAUUCCAAGGAUGGAAUUAAUAGAAUAUUGGAUAGACGAGAGAUUUCUUGAAAUGGCGAGUCGACAACAAUUGCAUGAUAGGGGUCAUACUAUAUUAAAUAGGCUGAUAAACAACUGUUUGUUGGAAAAGGCAGGAGAUGAUGUUAAGAUGCAUGAUGUGAUGAGAGAUAUGGCAUUGUAUAUCAAACAACUUCAUUUUAUUGUAAAAGCUGGCACCGGAUUGGAAGAAUUACCAAGCAAUUCAGAAUGGAAAAAAGAUGUUGAAAGGGCUUCAUUCAUGAUGAAUAAGGUAUCAGAAAUUCCUCUAAGCUUGUCACCCAAUUGUGGAAACCUUUCGACCUUAUUACUGAAAAUGAAUGUGUCCUUGAAAAGGAUUUCCGAAUCAUUCUUUCAGCACAUGCAUAGUCUCAGCAUUCUUGACCUUUCUUAUACCGGUAUCAAGCAAUUGCCCAAUUCCGUUUCAAACUUGGAAACGCUCAAUGCAUUGGUGCUUCGUGGAUGCUGCAACUUGAGAUAUGUGCCUUCACUAGAAAAGCUUAAGGCUCUACGAAAGCUAGACCUCCGUGAUACAGCUAUUAAAGAGGUGCCUAAAGGUUUGGAAAUGUUAGUAAAUCUGACAUAUCUUGAUUUAUCUACUGAAAGCUUAAAGGAGUUCCCAAUGGCAAUUCUCCCUCAGCUUUCCUGUCUACAAUAUUUGAUAUUUUACAGUAAAUCACGUACUGUAAAACUGGAUGGAUCGGAAGCUGCCAGAUUAAGGAAGCUAGAGGAAUUUGAAGGGAGAUUUAAUGAGUUGACAGACUUUAAUGACUACACCGACUCUAUACGAAGUCAAAGUCUUACUUCUUACUUGCUUGUCAUGGCACCACCUGAAGCCAAGUUUAAAGUCAAAGAGGGAACCAGAAAAUUAAAGCUUAAGUAUGAUGGUUCAGGAGACAUCACAGUCCCAAAACUAAGGAAAAUGACAAAAGGACUCAAAGGUACGAUCGAAUCAAAUCUAUAUUAUGUUAAUCUACUUUUAUGAUAUUAAUUUCGUCAGUGUUGAUAUUCAUAUUCCUUUUAGUUAUUGAAUAUUUUAUUCAAAACACAUCGAGUUAAAUAUAAAUACAAUAUUUAAAUGAAGGACAACGAUAGAAAAACUUUUUGAGGAUUGGAAUUAAAUUAUAUAUUUAUCUGAUAGUAAAAAUAUAAUUUUACCAUCUUAAUAGUUUAUAUAUUUAUAAUUUUUGAAGGAUUAAAUUAAAAUUUUAUAAUUUUGAGGAAUUAAAAUAUAAUUUUACUAUUAUUAAUUUAAAAAUAAAAAAUUUUCCAGCUGGCCGCCUGCAAACCCCCGGCUUAGCCACUGAUUCAAAUUAUUUGGUAGCAAAAUAAAAAAUAAAAAAAUACAUUUAGCCAAUUGAGCUUUCAAAGUUUUUUAUUAAUCUGGUCCAAACAUUAAUCAAACCUGCUUAUGUGGCAUCAAAAUCAGUUUUCAACAUUUCAUAAUCAUAUUUUGAGGAAAUUGAAAAAUGAGAAAUGCUUUCUAAAUAUAUAAUUGAUUAAAGCCAAUAUUCAAGAAUAAUUUAUAAAUACUUUUAUAUGCUGCUAAAUAUUGAAUAUCUGUGGAAUCUGUGUCCUUUGUAUAUUUGCAUUUUAUUUAUUUUUAGCAUGCCUUUUGUUUCUUUUCGCAUAUUUUUAACAGUUGAAGGUGUGGAAUAUGUGGCCUUUAAAGAGGAAAAUGGACAAGUGAAAGUGAUUGGUGACGUGGAUCCUGUUCGAAUCGUAAUGAAGCUGAGAAAAUAUAUCCAUGUUGAUAUCUUGUCUGUGGGUCCAAACCGGAGGAGCUUUCGCUCUCUUCUACCCAAGAAGGAAGUAAUUUUAAGUGGAUGCCAGAUCGGAAGAGGUCCAGUGAUUCUUCCAACUGAUCUUAUGCUUCUGAGAAUUUUUGAAUCCCACAAUGUGAGAAGCUUAAGCGAUAUCUCCAUAUUCUUCCAACAAGCAAGCCAGUUAAGGUUCUGUUCAGUUGAAGAUUGUAAAGGGAUAGAAUCCAUUCUCGACUCGUCUUUGUCGAACUCGCUUUGCAGACCACUUGAGAACCUUGAGUACUUGUGGCUUGAAAGGUUGGCUAAUUUGCAUGUGCUUAUUAAAUUCGAAGCACCUCUUUCUAUUUCUAGGUCACGGCCUCUACUAGGCAUCUUUUCUCAUCUUAAAUCAUUUGUGAUUAAAAAAUGCCUAAACAUGAAGCAGCUCUUCCCAUUUAAGCUAGCACAUGACCUUCAAAACCUGGAGAAUCUGGUGGUUUGUAAUUGCGUACAAAUGGAGGAAAUAAUAUCAUCAGAGGAAGAGAAUCACAAGGGAAACGGAAUAAACACUCCCAUGAAAUUCAGUCUUCCCAAAUUAAGGGAGUUAGAAUUGAAGAACUUACCAGAGCUGAAGAGCAUAUGCAGUUCAAAUAGGGAAAUGGUAUGCAAUUCUCUUCGGAAUAUUGAAAUAUCGAAAUGUACGAAUCUGAAAAGGAUGCCUCUGUAUCUUCCUCUUUUUCAAGAUACACACCAAUCAGCUCCUUCUGCUCAUCCUUUCGGAAGAAUCCGCAUAUGUCCAAAGGAGUGGUGGGAAUCAGUAGAGUGGGACUAUCCGAAUGCUAAGGAGGUUCUGCGACCUUGGUUGUGCCGUGUUUAGCGCUGCUGGAAGCCUUUGCUGGUCAAAUCAAAUUCCGGAUCAAGCUAAACAGUGAGUCUUCAUUUCUUGCUUUUAUUUCUAGAAAAAAAUUGAAGAUUUUUUAUUCUUCCAAAAAGAAAACGGGAAAACCUACAAGAAGAGGAUUAUGACUGGCAAAAUAGAAACCAAAGAGAACAAAAAUAUUGCUAAUGUUUAAAACAAAUUUAGAUCAAUUAGCAUCAUGCUUUGUUACCAGCUAUCGGCUAAUUUGGUUGAAAAUGGUUUUAAUAAAGCACGGUCCCAUUUGCUUCUUUGUUUAACCCCAAUGAUUAGGCUUGCUCUAGAACCCUUGAGAUUCUCAUUAUGACAUUAAUGAUUUGAAAGAAUGAACAGCCCCUUUUUCUUCUUUAUUUUGUAACUGCAAGCUUUAAGUUGAUAUAAAUAUGUUUUCCAAUGUAGUAUUCUUGUUUGCUUAGAUCAAUGUCAAAAACCUUGCCUCUAAUGCUUCCCCUUCUUCUCCACUCUUUUUUUUAUUUCUUUGUGGGGUUUUAUUAAAUACAGGUUGUUCAUGCCAUUCUAAAGCUAGCAAAGCAGUUGGCUUGACAAUCAAAUCUUGGAGAAACAAAUCAACCCAACUCAUCACUUUACCUUCAUUCUUCUGUGGUGGUUCUAUAUUUGAUGUGGUACUUCGUCGGAUGCAUCCUUCUCUUGUGGUUUUAUCUGUAAUAAUGAACCUUCAAUUUGGUUUCAAUGUGAUUGGAUUGUUGAUGUUGUAAUUCAACUUUGUACUUGAUAAUCCUGCUUCUAGUUUGCAUCAUUUUUUACUAUGUGGUUGUGUUUCUUGUGGCUUAAUUGUCUCAUUUGAUCUUGAACUUGGCACAUUUAUAUAUAUAUUGAACCAUCCCACAGGGAUAUACCACUUCCUGAAAUGGUGUUUUAUUUAGGUGGCCUUUUUGCUAUUGUGAACCAUCCCAAUGCUAAGCAGGAUCUGCUACCUUACUUGGUAAUGCUAUAGCGCUACUGGAAGCCUUUGUACUUUGAUCAUCUUGAUUUUAAUUAAUUUGCAUCUCAUCUUGCGAAUUGGAGUUAAUAAUCUAAGUUGUUUGCUUUUCUCUUCUUGUAUGAUUUUGCCCAUUUUGUGAGUCUCAUAUCAAUUAUAUUUUUUACAAAACAAGUCCUGGAAAAGAUUGCAAAUAGGGUUACAGGAUUGCUGGGAUUUCAAUUUUAUGUGUAUGGAUCAUAUUAUUCAAUUUCUUAGGAUUAGAGCUCAUUUAUUUAUUUAUGCUAGAUUUAUGGCACACGUAAGUUUUGGUUACAAUAAUAAAAUUAAUUCACAUUGUGCAUGAAAUUUUAAAUUCAAAUCACUUUAUAGUAAAUUUUUAUUGAUUUAUAUUAUGUAAAAAAAGACAAAAACACUCUCAUUAAAAAAAUAAUUUAAGUUAAAUAUGGGCGAAUAUUUAAUAAUUCCGUAAUUAAAUUGAUACCUAAUCAAAUUGAUGUCCAAAUGACUUAUGAUAUCAAUUCAAUAACAUAUUUAAAAUAGAUAAUAACUAUAAAAUAAUUUAGGCACUAAUUUCAGAGUGUUGUUAUAUCCAAUACCCAGCACCUAGAGGCAUUCAAGCUAUAGAGAGAGUCCAAAACUCUAUUUAUUCCUUGCAUCUGAUGGUGGGUUCAUGUUUAGACAUAAUCUUUAUAUAAUCUUUGCAAAACUUAAAUGGUUAGAUUGGAGUGCACCUUUAGAAAAUAUUUCUUCAUCAAUGGUUACACAUUAUAAUUAAGGUAGUGUUUUUUUUUUUUGACAUAAUUAGGUACUGUUUUACUGUUGAAUUUAAUGAGUUACUAAUAACUUGUGAAGAUAAAUCUUGUGAAGCAUAAGUAGGUUUUGCAAAAAAAAAAAAUAAAUAAAGAGUUACUAUUACAAAAUCAUAUACAUUAGAAGAGUAUUUUAAAAAACGUUUCCAGCCAUUAAUUGUCAAAAACAAGAUAUAAAAAAAAUUGAUGCAUGUCAAAUUUUCUAUAGACAUUUAAUUUUGUUCCAACAUUUUAAUUUAAAAUUUAUUAGAUUUCGAUUUGAUUAAACGAGCCUUUAUCUAAAUUUUUUAAAUUAAAUUGAUUUGGAUUCAGAAUUAGAAUAAAAAGCUAGUUUUGAAAUUUAUUUUAUUUAAGUUGGAAUGUAUUUUAUUUUGAGUUUAAAUUAAUUAAUAAAAUAAUUUUAAUUUAAUAUAUUAGGGUUUAGGGGAAGUCAAGAUUUUCAGUUGAUUAAGCAAUUUAUUAGUGAUUAACAGAAUUCUUAACGAGAGAGAGUAGUUCAAAAAUUCAUCUUAACUGAAAUAAUUAAAUUUAAAAAAAUUAAUAUAUCAAAAUAAAAUAAUCACAAUAUUGCAUUCAUGUAGUUAUAUAACUCUACUUUUAGUUAUCGAUAAUUAUUUUUUUUAAAAAUAUAUAUAACAAGAAAUUUCAAAAAAAAAAUUUACUUUUUGUUGAGGCUAUAGAUCAAAUGGCUUCUCCAACCGUUAAAACCAUCAUUGUGAAAGAAAAAUCAGCUUGAUCAAAAUUGUAUACAGGAGCUAGAAUUGAAUUACUUUAAUAAUUUAAUUUAUUAAAAAUUUUAAUAUUUUUUUAAUAAAUCAAAUUUUACCCACCCUAAUCUUUUAUAUAUAAAGAAAGACUCUAAACAUUUUUUUUUUUAUAUUUUCAACCAAGUUGAAGCUAAACAAUCUUGAAUCAUGUUUUAGUCAAAUUUAUUAUUUUUAAAUUUGGUGAAGUUGGUUUGAUCCAGCAGUUUACAAAGCUCUUUCAGCCAGUAAUAAGCCAAAUGUGGGGGAAUUUAAAAUUCCGAGAUUUCCCUGAAAUCAUUUAAACAAGUCAACUCAAGUUAAGCUCAUCUCCUUUUAUUCUUCUACAUUGGCUGCUCCAAUACCAUUAUUUUUCACAUCAUUUAGGCAAACAAUUCCGGAGUUGAUACAGCAGACACGGUGAAGCAACGCCAAGGUAACAUAUCUUCUCCACAGUAGCUAAGUAUAUAUUUGUUUACUCUGAAUCAAUAUCUGAUUUGAAUCGCUUUUCUAUUUAGUAGGUCUUGAAUAUUACUCCCAACAAAUUCCUAUUAUCACACGCUUUCCCCCUUUCCCUCAUCUUUGUCUAAUAUUUCAGGUAAGCUUUCCUUUUAUUUUCAAAGAUGAAAGACUAUGCGUGUGGAUUUGAGACUCAUCUGAUUUCUUCUUUGUUUAAGCUAUGGUUUUAGAGGAAUUUCAAAUCCUACUUCCAGAAUUGAGUUUCGCGACAAUCUCUAGUUUUUUCUUUUAAAUAGAAAUGAUCAAAUUACUUAUUCCACCAUUAAAUGUAACAAAAGACUAACAACGCAUUUCCACAUUAAUCACACUAAAACUAGGGGUUGUUGCUACUUUGGUUUACCCAAAUAUAUAUAUAUUUAAAAGUAGAUAACAUUUGAUCUUAUAUUUUUGUUCACGUUAGUUUUUUAAUUUGAUAACUUUUCUCAAUUUUAAUCAUUGCAAUGAUAUUAAAAUAUGGUAUUCUACCAUGUUAUCACCUAAAUCUUUUUAUAAAACUUAUACUUUUUAGAUAAAUGUGACAUAAUAACGGAGUGUCAUAUUAUCACAUAAAUCAAAAUUGAGAAAUUUGUCCAGUUUUGAGAUUAAUUUGGAAAAAAGAGUAUAGAGACUAAGUUAGAAAGUUGUCAAAUUCAAAUAUUACAUGUUGCUUAAUCCUAUUUAAAAAGAAACUGCAAUCAUUUAUAACUCAUUUUUUUAAAAUUACUUAAUAUAACUCAAUUUAGGAUGUGCUUGAUAAACCAUUUAAAAUGAAAAUUUUAAAUAUUCAAAGUCUAUUUGGACAUCACAAGAUAUUUAGUUGGAAAUGUAAUUACAUUAGAUUCUGCAAUUAACAAAAGAAUGACUACAAUAUUUAAUUUUGAAAAAUUGGGUGGUUAAAAUAAAAAAAAUUAAUAGUUUAUUGACCAAGGUAUAAUAAACUAAAUAGUUAAAUGAAUAUUCAUAAAAUAUUUAUUAAUUUAAUUUUAAUAUAUUUCUGAUAACCAAAUUAUAAAAAUAUUCACUAUUGGUCUAACCAAAAUAAUUUACGUGUUUAACAGAAAAGUAUAUUUUAAUUUAAAAUUUUCUUAUUAAGAAUAUCAUAUUUUAAAAAUAAAACACUAAAAAAAUUCAUAAAAAAUAAUAAUAAAAGGGAAAAGCUAAUUAGACAUUUUAGAAAGUUAAAAUGUUUUUAGUUCAAUCAAAGUACUUUGCACGUUGUAUCGAAAGUAUAUUAUUUAAAUUUUAUAAGAAAAAUAUUUUUAAAUAAAUAAAAAGAACAAAAGGAAAAAAUAAAUAUAAUAAGAAAAAUUAUUUUACUGGAAAAAAAAUAAUUCAUAAAAAUUAUACGAAAAGGGAAAAUCAAUUAAAUACUUUAUAAUAUUAUUUUAAAAGAACUCAUAAAAAAAUUAAAUAUUUUAAAAGGGUAAUAAUGUUUUAUUUAAAUAUUUUAUAUACGUAUUUUAGAAGAUUUUAUAUAUUUUGGAAGAAUAUUUUAUUUUUUAAUACUUUUUGGAGCUGACACUUAAUUUAUAUAUUGAUAGAUAUAUAAUCGUACAUUAAAAUCUAUCCUUCAUAAAGAAAUAAGUGUCACUAACGGACGUAGUUAUUAUUACUACAUUGCAGAUUAUUUGGUGAAUUAUGGAACUUGUAGGACCAAUUUGUGAAGUGCUAAAGUGCUUAGGAGAUCCAACAUGUACAUUCAUACAACAUCACAGAAAACUUAAAGACAGGAUGAAUGAUCUUCAAGAGAGACUAAUCCGACUAAAUGCUAUGAAGAGAGAUGUGGAGCGGAGAAAAAAGGCAGAGCUUCGAUGGGGAAGACUUCUAAGGGAAGAAGUAGAGAAGUGGCUUCUAGAUGUGCAAACCGUCAAUGAUACAAUGCGGGACAUUGAUGAACGAAUGCAAAAUGUGUCUUGUUUUUCACGUGCACGCCUUGGAAAACGUGUUGCUCAAACAGUUGAACAAGUGGAGGGAAUUAUUGAACGAGGUAGGUUCCCUGAAGCUCUAGUAAUUGAUAAUCCAUCUACUGCUGGAGUGCCUUUUCAAUCGGAACAUUUAGAAGGUGAAACCAUGGUGAUAGAAGACAUUUGGAACUACUUAAUGAGUGAUGAAAUUGGAAUGAUUGGAGUAUGUGGGAUGGGUGGGAUCGGGAAAACCACUAUCGUGAAGCACAUUUACUAUGAACUAUUGAAGGAGACUAAACCUUUGUUUGAUAAAAUCAUUUGGGUCACUGUUUCAAAGGAGCUCAACAUUCCCAAAUUACAGCAAAACCUUGCAAAUGCUAUGAAUAUUGUAGGUCUUCCAGAAUCUGAACCAGAGCGUGUAGCAGUAUUAAUGGAUAAAUUGGGACGAAGAAGAUAUGUAUUGAUCUUAGAUGAUGUUUGGAAAAAGUUCUCUCUGGCAGAGGUAGGGAUUCCUAAACCAACCUCCAGCAAUGGGAGUAAGUUGGUAUUAACUAGUAGGUUGAUUGAGGUUUGUAGAUCAAUGGACUGUAAGGUAGUCAAAGUACCUCCACUCUCCAAUGAGGAGUCCAUGAAUUUAUUCUUGAAGCAUGCUGGACGUGGGGUUCUAAAGGUUCCAUCUUUGAAAGAAAUUUUGGACAACGUUGUUAAGGAGUGUGAUGGGUUACCCCUUGCCAUUGCUGUAAUAGCUGGGAGCAUGAAGGGAAUAUAUGAUGUUGCGGAAUGGAGGAACGCAUUAAGAGAGUUACGAGACCAUGUAAGAAGCGUGAAGGGCGCAGAUGUUGAAAUAUAUGAGCGAUUGAAGUUCAGUUUCGAUCGUUUGGGAGAUUUGAAAAUCCAAAGUUGUUUCCUUUAUUGCUCACUAUAUCCAGAAGACUAUAUAAUUCCAAGGGAGGAAUUAAUAGAAUACUGGAUAGAUGAGGAAUUUCUUGGAACUGGGAGUCGACAAGAGUUGUAUGAUAAGGGUCAUACUAUAUUAAAUAGGCUGGAAAAUAAUUGUUUGUUGGAAAAGGUUGGUAGAGAUACUGUGAAGAUGCAUGAUGUAAUGAGAGAUACAGCAUUGUAUAUCAAAGGUUCUGGCUCCGAUUUUAAGGUACAAUCUGGCAUUGGACUAAAAGAACUACCAACCAAGCAAGAAUGGGGAGAAGAUCUUGAAAAAGUUUCCUUCAUGGUGAAUAACGUAUCUGAGAUUCCUCCGCACUUGUCACCCAAUUGUGAGGUUCUUUCUACCUUAUUAUUGCAAAAGAAUGAAUCAUUACAAAGAAUUUCAGAAUCGUUCUUUCAACAUAUGCAUAGACUCAGCAUUCUUGAUCUUUCUUAUACCAAUGUCAAGCAACUGCCAACUUCUGUGUCAAACUUGGAAAAGCUCAAAGCAUUGGUGCUUCGUGGAUGCUACAACUUGAGAUAUGUGCCUUCACUGGAAAAGCUUGAGGCUCUAAGAAAGUUGGACCUCAGUCGUACAGCUAUUGAAAAGGUGCCUCAAGGUUUGGAAAUGUUAUCAAAUCUAACAUAUCUCAAUUUAUAUACAAAAAGCUUAAAGGAGCUGCCAGUUGCAAUUCUACCCAGGCUUUCUUGUCUGCAAUGUUUGAUAUUAUACGUUGAAUCAAGUCGUGUAAAAAUGACUGGAUUCGAUGCUGCCAGAUUAACGAAGCUAGAGAGAUUUGAAGGGAGAUUUACUGAGUUGAUAGACUUUAAUGCCUACACCAAGUCUAUACAAUGUCAACUGCUCACUUCUUACUUGCUUGUCAUGGCACCACUUGAAGCCAAGUUUAACGUCAAACAACGUAUAAAAGGCAUAAAUUGUGUUUACCGUUUCAAGUUGUUGAAUGUGG